GUGGGGAAUUUUGGACAAUGGGGGCAACCCUGAUCCAGCAAUGCCGCGUGUGUGAAGAAGGCCUUCGGGUUGUAAAGCACUUUUGUCCGGAAAGAAAACUUCGGGGCUAAUACCCCUGGAGGAUGACGGUACCGGAAGAAUAAGCACCGGCUAACUACGUGCCAGCAGCCGCGGUAAUACGUAGGGUGCGAGCGUUAAUCGGAAUUACUGGGCGUAAAGCGUGCGCAGGCGGUGCUGUAAGACCGAUGUGAAAUCCCCGGGCUUAACCUGGGAACUGCAUUGGUGACUGCAGCGCUGGAGUAUGGCAGAGGGGGGUGGAAUUCCACGUGUAGCAGUGAAAUGCGUAGAGAUGUGGAGGAACACCGAUGGCGAAGGCAGCCCCCUGGGCCAAUACUGACGCUCAUGCACGAAAGCGUGGGGAGCAAACAGGAUUAGAAACCCGUGUAGUCC
rnacentral:rRNA from 1 species